AGCAGAAUGGCUUAGUGGAAAGAGCGUGGGCCUGGGAGUCUGUGGACCUGGGUUCUAGUCCCAGAUCUGCCA
rnacentral:tRNA from 1 species